rnacentral:rRNA from 1 species
GCGAGUGAAGCGGCAAGAGCUCAAAUUUGAAAGCUGGCCCCCUCGGGGUCCGCGUUGUAAUUUGCAGAGGAUGCUUCGGGUGCAGCCCCCGUCUAAGUGCCCUGGAACGGGCCGUCAUAGAGGGUGAGAAUCCCGUCUGGGACGGGGUGUCUGCGUCCGUGUGAAGCUCCUUCGACGAGUCGAGUUGUUUGGGAAUGCAGCUCUAAAUGGGUGGUAAAUUUCAUCUAAAGCUAAAUACUGGCCGGAGACCGAUAGCGCACAAGUAGAGUGAUCGAAAGAUGAAAAGCACUUUGAAAAGAGAGUUAAACAGCACGUGAAAUUGUUGAAAGGGAAGCGUUUGCGACCAGACUCGCCCGCGGGGUUCAGCCGGCACUCGUGCCGGUGUACUUCCCCGUGGGCGGGCCAGCGUCGGUUUGGGCGGCCGGUCAAAGGCCCUCGGAAUGUAUCACCUCUCGGGGUGUCUUAUAGCCGAGGGUGCAAUGCGGCCUGCCCGGACCGAGGAACGCGCUUCGGCUCGGACGCUGGCGUAAUGGUCGUAAAUGACCCGUCUUGAAACACGGACCAAGGAGUCUAACAUCUACGCGAGUGUUCGGGUGUCAAACCCGUACGCGCAGUGAAAGCGAACGGAGGUGGGAGCCCCCCCCGUGGGGCGCACCAUCGACCGAUCCUGAUGUCUUCGGAUGGAUUUGAGUACGAGCGUAGCUGUGGGGACCCGAAAGAUGGUGAACUAUGCCUGAAUAGGGCGAAGCCAGAGGAAACUCUGGUGGAGGCUCGCAGCGGUUCUGACGUGCAAAUCGAUCGUCGAAUUUGGGUAUAGGGCGAAAGACUAAU